AGUGUAGGUAAAAGAUUAUUUUUUUAAAGGAGAUUGACACAAUUAAAUGAUGUUUAACUAAAUUUCUUAAUAAGCAUAAAAGUAUUUUUUUUUUAUAUAUUUGAGACUAGAGAGUUAAUAGACAAAGCUCACAGUAGGGGUGUAAAUUACUCUAAAAAAAUAUGUUAUUGAGUUUAUACAAAUGGAGUGAACUGUAAUAUUUAAAUAAGUUUGGAGAUUGGAGUUUAGUGUCAUUCAAAUAAAUAUGAAGGUAAUAUAAUAUAAUUUACUCUAAAUAAAAAAGAGCACAAUACCUAGACUAGUUUGUUGUUAUUCGCAUCUCAAUCCAAUUUAAAAUUGAAAGAGCGCACACAUAAUAAAAAUUGGAUACCAUGUAAUGACAUCCCAUUGGCUAGUUUUGGAAGACAUGGAUUACCAAACAAAUAACUUGAGUCAUUGAUAACAUCAAAUCAAACGGUUCACGUUUUUUUGUGCUUGUCUCGUUGGAUCCUUGUUGGGUUAAUUUUGUUGUUGUUAUCCACAUCUCAAUUCAAUUUUAAAUUGAAAAAGUGCAUGUUGAAUAAAAAUUGGAUACCAUAUAAUGACAUCUCAUUGGCUGGUUUGGAAAGACACGGAUUAUCAAACAAACAAUUGUGGGUCGUUAAUAACAUCAAAUCAAACCGUUCACAUUUCUCUAUGCUAAUCGUGUUGGAUCCUCGUUGGAUAGUUUUUUUGUUGUUGUUGUUGUUAUCCACAUCUAAAUCCAAUUCAAAAUUGAAAGAACUCAUAUCGAAUAAAAAAUAGAUACCUUAAAAUGACAUUCCAUUGGUGGGUGUGAAAAGACACGGAUAACCAAACAAAAUAAUUAUGAGCCAUUGAUAACAUCAAAUCGAACGGUUCACAUUUCUUUAUGCUAGUCUAGUUGGAUCCUCGUAAAAGCUUCCAAAACUUUAUAAUGUGGAAUCAUGCUAACACACUCUCCACCUACAUCUUACCAUCACUCUCACUUGUGAUUAUUCCUACCACAUGAAAUCCACACUAUAAAAUUUAUCACCUUUUCUUGUUCUCACCAAUUAGACUAUUAGGCUCUCGAAGGUUCAAGACUGACCUUCUCCACACUUUUAAUUAUUUUUUGUUGGGUUGAUAUCUUUUCUUGUUUCUAAAAAUUUUGAGUUCUUUUUGUUUAUGCUAGGUCCAUGAGUUGGGCAACAUAGCCUCGUUCAUGAACCUUCUUUACAGAUAUACUCAAAUGGAGUUUGUUGACCAUGUCAUCUAUUUCUCUACCCUCUCCUUUAUUCUUUGUCAUACUCUUUGUUUCAAUUAUGGACACUAAACAUCUUCAACGAUUGUGAUUUCCUUGAUUAAUGAAAUAAGUUUUCCACUUGAUCUUAAUUCUAAACCCGAUGAGGAGGAGGAACCAAUUUCUUUCUCGGAGGAAGCAAGUGCCAAUGUUGGUGGAAAGUGUGAAACCAGAGCCGCAACUUCUGCAUCAGAUGACAACAUUCGAGGUCGAGCAGAAGUUGCUGUUAUUGACAGAGUCAACGUUGUUGAACGAAGAUUUGACUUUGAGAAUAAGUUUUGUUAUUUGAAACUUACUAAAUGUUACAUGAGGAUAUAAUUUAAUUUAUCGAUUUUAAUAUGACACAUACAUUAUAUGUUUUUAGGAAUUAAUAACGUGUUAAAUCAAAAUUGGUCAUGACAAGGUAUACUUGGUGGUGGUGAUAUAUGAAAAAAAUUGAGAAUUUAUAUUUUUGUUAGUUAA